rnacentral:misc_RNA from 1 species
UUUCCGUAGGUGAACCUGCGGAAGGAUCAUUAUUGUAUAACCGAGGUGCGAGGGCUGUCGCUGACCCGAAAGGUCGUGCACGCCCGAGUGCCCUCACACACAUCCAUCUCACCCCUAUGUGCACCACCGCGUGGGUCCCCCUUUGGCUUGUUCGGAGGGGGGCUUACGCUUUCACACAAACUUUGUAUGCAGUGUAGAAUGUAUUUUUUGUUUUUGCGAUCACGCAAUCAAUACAACUUUCAACAACGGAUCUCUUGGCUCUCGCAUCGAUGAAGAACACAGC